UCGCAGUCGAGUCGAACGGGGCGAGACUACUGCGAGACGGAUAGUUACGACAACAACGUUUCGGUUUCGGUUGUAUGGGCGCCCUUUUGGUGUUUUCGACGUCGAGGUGAUUUAUUUUUGAGGGAUUUAACUUGUUUUUAGCGAGGUAAUAAGCCGAUUUUUGUGUGAGGAAAAAAUCCACGUCAACAGGAUGCAACCCCCGCUACCGAAAGUAACCGUUCCACACGACAGCACCACCCAGUUUAUAGAUGAAGUAGGUACUCCGUUGACCAAAUUACCAACAAAUGAAGAUUUAUGAUAUUUUCCCCAUUGUGAAUCCACUGCUGUUUGUACUUGGAUACAUAGCUGCAAUGCCAUCCGCCGCUUGUUUACGAACAUCUUUGUCCAUAUAGUACAACACAGCAGCUUAUCCCAGCUCCGAGAAGAUUAUUUUGUUUCGUUGUUUGUCCGGGCGCGCUGCCAUUGCAGAAACAGACAAACAGAAUAGCUGUUGUUUCGACCUUAAACCAACAACUACCGACUGACUGAAUUGGCAUUGAUUUUCCUCACCGAACCUUGAGUUACUAUCGAAACAACGAACUCAGAACCUCCGCCACCGGUCAGUAACUUAGGCAACCGUAUAGUCACCUCGUUAUCACUCUAUUCGAGUGAUGCGGCGACGACUGCCAACAAACAGUCGCGGUUUGCCGUAAUAAAGAAAU